GGCGGCGUACUUAACACAUGCAAGUCGAACGAGGAGCUUCGGUGUAGCAAUACAUCGGCGCUUCGAGUGGCGCACGGGUGAGUAACACGUGGGCAACCUGCCCUUGAGUCCGGGAUACCCUCUCGAAAGGGAGGCUAAUACUGGAUACGUUCUUCGGAUCGCAAGGUCUGGAGAGGAAAGGUAGCGAAAGCUGCCGCUCUUGGAGGGGCUCGCGGCCUAUCAGCUAGUUGGUGAGGUCACGGCUCACCAAGGCUAUGACGGGUAGCUGGUCUGAGAGGACGACCAGCCACACGGGAACUGAGACACGGUCCCGACUCCUACGGGAGGCAGCAGUGGGGAAUUUUCCGCAAUGGGCGAAAGCCUGACGGAGUGACGCCGCGUGGGGGAUGAAGGCCUUCGGGUUGUAAACCCCUGUCAGAGGGAAAGAAGGGUCGGCGCGUGAAUAGCGCGUCGAUCUGACGGUACCUUCAGAGGAAGCCCCGGCCAACUCUGUGCCAGCAGCCGCGGUAAGACAGAGGGGGCAAGCGUUGCUCGGAAUUACUGGGCGUAAAGGGCGCGUAGGCGGGAUGGCAAGUCGGUCGUGAAAUC
rnacentral:rRNA from 1 species